AGGACGAACGCUGGCGGCGCGCCUAAUACAUGCAAGUAGAACGCUGAAGAGAGGAGCUUGCUCUUCUUGGAUGAGUUGCGAACGGGUGAGUAACGCGUAGGUAACCUGCCUUGUAGCGGGGGAUAACUGUUGGAAACGAUAGCUAAUACCGCAUAACAAUGGGUGACACAUGUCAUUUAUUUGAAAGGGGCAAUUGCUCCACUACAAGAUGGACCUGCGUUGUAUUAGCUAGUAGGUGAGGUAACGGCCUCACGUAGGACGACGAUACA
rnacentral:rRNA from 1 species